CCUACGGGAGGCAGCAGUGGGGAAUCUUGCGCAAUGGACGAAAGUCUGACGCAGCCACGCCGCGUGAGUGAAGAAGGCCUUCGGGUUGUAAAGCUCUGUCGGAAGGGACAAAAACUCUAUAGGUUAAUAGCCUAUGGAAUUGAUGGUACCUUUAAAGGAAGCACCGGCUAACUUCGUGCCAGCAGCCGCGGUAAUACGAAGGGUGCAAGCGUUGCUCGGAAUUAUUGGGCGUAAAGGGUAGGUAGGUGGUUACGUAUGUCUGGGGUGAAAUCCCUGAGCUUAACUCAGGAAGUGCCUUGGAAACGGCGUAACUAGAGUGCUAGAGAGGUUCGUGGAAUUCCCAGUGUAGCGGUGAAAUGCGUAGAGAUUGGGAGGAACACCAGAGGCGAAGGCGGCGAACUGGAUAGCAACUGACACUGAACUACGAAAGCGUGGGUAGCAAACAGGAUUAGAUACCCGGGUAGUC
rnacentral:rRNA from 1 species